rnacentral:tRNA from 1 species
UCCCUGAUAGCUCAGUUGGUAAAGAAUCUGCCUACAAUGCAAGAGACCCUGGUUUGACCCCUGGUUUGGGAA